rnacentral:rRNA from 1 species
CCUACGGGAGGCAGCAGUGAGGAAUAUUGGUCAAUGGGCGGAAGCCUGAACCAGCCAAGUCGCGUGAGGGAUUAAGGCCCUAUGGGUCGUAAACCUCUUUUGUCAGGGAGCAAGGUCGUCCACGUGUGGGCUCAUGGAGAGCACCUGAAGAAAAAGCAGCGGCUAACUCCGUGCCAGCAGCCGCGGUAAUACGGAGGAUUCAAGCGUUAUCCGGAUUUAUUGGUUUUAAAGGGUGGGUAGGCGGUCCGGUAAGUUAGCGGUGAAAUCCCGAGGCUCAACUUCGGAAUUGCCUCUGAUACUGUUCGGCUAGCGAGUAGUUGCGGUAGGCGGAAUGUAUGGUGUAGCGGUGAAAUGCUUAGAUAUCACGAAGAACUCCGAUUGCGAAGGCAGCCCACUGGACUGCAACUGACACUGGUGCUCGAAAGUGUGGGUAUCAAACAGGAUUAGAUACCCGUGUAGUC